rnacentral:rRNA from 1 species
GACGAACGCUGGCGGCAUGCUUAACACAUGCAAGUCGAACGGAAAGGCCCUGCUUUUGUGGGGUGCUCGAGUGGCGAACGGGUGAGUAACACGUGAGUAACCUGCCCUUGACUUUGGGAUAACUUCAGGAAACUGGGGCUAAUACAGGAUAGGAGCUCCUGCUGCAUGGUGGGGGUUGGAUAGUUUCGGCGGUUGGGGAUGGACUCGCGGCUUAUGAGCUUGUUGGUGGGGUAGUGGCUGACCAAGGCUUUGACGGGUAGCCGGCCUGGGAGGGUGACCGGCCACAUUGGGACUGAGAUACGGCCCAGACUCCAACGGGAGGCAAUAGUGGGGAGUAUUGCACAAUGGGCGGAAGCCUGAUGAAGCAACGCCGCGUUCGGGAAGACGGCCUUCGGGUUGUAAACCGCUGUCGCCUGUGACGAAGCGUGAGUGACGGUAAUGGGUAAAUAAGCACCGGCUAACUACGUG